ensembl:lncRNA
AGAGAAUGAGAGGAUCUAGUACUGAAAGGAUAAGCUACAGAUAGUCAACCCUACAGUGCAUAAAAUGUGGUGAGUAGUUGACUCAGAGGGAGAACACAAUAGUUUAACAGUUUUGAACAAAUGAAUUUCUUGAAAAAAUAAGAAUCAUGAGAGAGAGCUAGCAAAUGCAGCUAGCUAGUUUAGCCUACUCAAACACCCGGCUCAAACACAUAGGACUGCUAGGUUAGCUAGCUGGCUAUAGCUAAACACUGGAACUCUUCCAAGUCAAGUUACAGCCCAGAUCUUCCAAUCUGGAUGACCAGACCACGGGUCCGGAAUGACGAUCCCAAUCCGGACAUCCACUGCCCAUCCUUGCGGCAGCCUGUUCCAUUUGCAGAAAUCCCACCCGGGUCGACCACCAGAGGGGGAAAGCAACAGCGAUUACCAACCGGACAUCCACUGCCCAUCCUAGUGUUGGACUGCUCUGCUUUCAGAAAGCCUACCAACGCAAUGGCAAUCACCAACCAGGACAUCCCCUGGCCAUUCCUGUGGUACUUUGCAGCUUCCAGGAAAUCUACCAAAGUAAACCACUAGAGGGGGACCACAAUGGCAAUCACCAACCAGGACAUCCACUGCCCAUCCAAUUGAUGGACUACUCUGCUUUCAAAGAGCCUACCAAGGUCAACCACCAGAGGUGGACUGCAACAAUGAUCUACAACCAGGACAUCACAUGGUCAUUAUUUUUAUGUUGGUUUGCAACUUGCAGGAAAAUCACAAGAUUUAAACCACCAGAGGGGGACUUUCAUGACUUGGCCCUUUCUGGGAGUAGAUCGUGGCUUCCCCUCCUCCCCCCUCUCACUCGCUCUCCUAAACUCAGGUUUUGUUAUCUCAGAUCAUACAUUCCUGGUAGAGACUCUCUCCCCCUGGUCAUGCAGAGAGAGAGGGGGAGAGCAAAGAGAGAGAACAAAGGACUUCACUUGGCCAAACUCCUAAAUCCCCAAAAUGGGAGAAUUUAACCAUUUCUACUUUACUUUUGAGAAUGUGGGAAUGGUCUUUGGACACAUAAGGGACAGUUAUGAUUAGUGUGUUUCAUUUGGUGAUCUCAUGAAGGACAGGAAACACACAUAACUGUAUGUCUUCAAGUGUACAUUUCCCAGCUGUCAGGUUUACAUCUAAAUAUUGUGAAAAUUAUGUGAUUAAACAUGAAACUAUUUGUGAAAAGAUUUAUGUGAUAUUAACCUUCUAAAUGAGAGUAUGGAUUUUCAUAUAAAGAUUAACUAGUCAGUGGCCACACCCCCGUGAGCCCAGGCAUCACAUUAGGUAUCAUGGACCGCUCUUUUCUCCUGAAACAUAUUAAACCCACUCCUGAUGCAAUUCACACCAGACCAUGCAAACCUCAGUGUAAACUAAGGUUGCAAAUGGUUGAAAUUCUAAGACCAAAACAUGCCAGGUGACGCUGGUGUGUGAAGUGGUUUAAACUACAAAGAGAUGUGAUAAGCUGGACAUCUCAAGUGGUUAAAACCUCUACAAACGAUAAGACUAGAAACCCAUCCCUUGUGGAGCUUUGGCUACACAGCUAGAAAUGGUUAAACUCUGAGACUAUCGAGUCACUACAGAAUAAGUGAGAAAUUCUAGACAAAACGAAUUACUAGUCUGCAGCUAGAAAUGACUUAAACCUAGGAAAAGAAUACAGACAACUGCCGAAACAACUAUUCUAUGAGAACAUUUCCGAAUAGUACUCUGAGGUAUCCAUUCUAACAACCAUUAAAGACUUUGAUCUUCGGCGAAUCAGAGAGACUCUGAUGAAAUCUCCAGCAGACGGACCGGAUUCCAACAGAGAAGACAACAACGACGUACCGGUGUAAAUAUAAUUAGCAAUUUCUUUUCCAAUGAGUGGUCGUUCAUGUAAAGUAUUAGCAAUUUCUAUGAGUGUAGUAAUCCUCUGAGUUUCCCGCUCUUGAACCGCCCUCCCCUUUCUUUUGUCUACCAAGCCGUCAUAUCGGUUUCGUCCGCUAGGGACUUUUCUUUGUAUCAUGUAGCAACCCAAU